rnacentral:rRNA from 1 species
AUGGCUAGUAAGCAUGAGUCACCAGCUCGUGUUGACUACGUCCCCCUUUGUACACACCGUCUGUCGGUCCUACCGAUUGAAUGGUCCAGUGAAGUGUUCAGAUCAUGGCGACAGGGAUGGUUUUCUGCCCCCGACAUUAAGAAAGGCCAUCCAUGGAACAUCUUUCAGAGUCCAUCUUCAACGCAUCAAUUCAUGAAAAUAUAUAUGGCAGAGCCACAGCUCCAAGAAUACGCGGAGGAGGUGGCCCGGGUCGGCGUCGGCACCGUCCGGCGCGGGCCACGGGCCCGCUUCCAAGUGCGUCUGCGCGCCGGCGCCCACGCCGAGUCCUUCAAGUGCCGCUUCCACCGCACCAACUCCCAGGGCCACGGCCACAGCCAGGGCCAGGGAAGCCGCCCUUCUUCGCCCCCUUCACCGGCCGCGGCCAACGCGGUGCCACGGCACCCGGCCUCGCCGUCCUUGUCCUCCGGCACCGUCGCAACCCAGUGA